AGCGAGCGCUGGCGGCAGGCCUAACACAUGCAAGUCGAACGGAUCCUUCGGGAUUAGUGGCGGACGGGUGAGUAACACGUGGGAACGUGCCCUUUGGUUCGGAACAACCCAGGGAAACUUGAGCUAAUACCGGAUGUGCCCUUCGGGGGAAAGAUUUAUCGCCAUUGGAGCGGCCCGCGUCUGAUUAGCUAGUUGGUGAGGUAACGGCCCACCAAGGCGACGAUCAGUAGCUGGUCUGAGAGGAUGAUCAGCCACACUGGGACUGAGACACGGCCCAGACUCCUACGGGAGGCAGCAGUGGGGAAUCUUGCGCAAUGGGCGAAAGCCUGACGCAGCCAUGCCGCGUGAAUGAUGAAGGUCUUAGGAUUGUAAAAUUCUUUCAGCGGGGACGAUAAUGACGGUACCCGCAGAAGAAGCUCCGGCUAACUUCGUG
rnacentral:rRNA from 1 species